UCAUCGGCCCUUUUAAGGGCCACCAAAACUUAUAAGAAAUUGAUUU
rfam:Daphnia magna strain Xinb3 contig28511, whole genome shotgun sequence.